GACGAACCGUGCGAACGUUAUUCGGAAUCACUGGGCUUAAAGCGCGUGUAGGCGGGACGGCACGUCGGUCGCUGAAAGCCCCCGGCUCAACCGGGGAACGGGCGCCGAUACGACCGCCCUGGAGGGACGUAGGGGGACCUGGAACUUCCGGUGGAGCGGUGAAAUGCGUUGAGAUCGGAAGGAACGCCCGUGGCGAAAGCGAGGUCCUGGACGUUUUCUGAC
rnacentral:rRNA from 1 species